rnacentral:antisense_RNA from 2 species
UGUUAUGGCGGGUUGCGCAGGAGCACCCUCGGGUGCGUCGGGUUCCUUUUGCCCCGAUCCGCCAAUCCUGUGCAAUUCGCCACCCUU